GGAUGGGACCGCGUCCUGCCCCACGCGUCACCUGCGGGCAAAGCCACCGCUAUCCCGGCGUGAAGGAACUUGCUCACCCGUCCGAACACUCGUCCAGCUUUGCUGCGGAUCAGUUCCAGACUGUCAGGAUUCUUCUUCUGAGGCAUCAGGCUGCUGCCAGUGCUGAAAGGAAGGUGUGUGGAGUGCAAUGGCGCUCAGAAUCACGGGUCAGAGCAACAGCAUGGCUGGGGAAGGACAGGAGAGAUGAAACACCUGAAGCUGGAAAAUGCCACAACCCAGCAGUGUGCAACUUUCCAGCUACGUCUCCAAUCAGCUCCUGAGGACAAGAGGAGGAUUUCUGUCAGUGUCUCUGUAUUCUAAGCAAGAGACUCCACAUGAGCACAUCUCCCUGCCUGGAAGGGACUCAGCUCGAGGAUCCUGCAGAUCCAGCUACAGAGGAACAGGAACAAGAGGACAGAGAACCCAAACCUUUAGCCUGCGUUCGUUGGCAGUGUGGAUAUCCUCAUCAGUUGGUUUCAGCACAAAGACUCCUUUGGACCAUUCCUCAGAGAUCUACAAACAUCAGCAGAUGAUGUUUAUUAUCAUACCAUAUUUAUACCAUGAUGAUUAUUAAAUACAGGGAGGCUACUGUCAGGUAAGGAGCCAUUCAUUCCAGCACACGUGACAGUUUGUGAAGGAAGGACAUACCUUUUCCAGGCCACCCAGGAUCUUCUCCAGCUCAGUUUUUGAUAGGAUUCCAGCCUUCUCCAAGGCUUUGGCAUAAGCCAUGCUCCCCUGAAUAUCAACUUCAGACAGUCUCUGAUCAUAGGAAAUGGAAGCAUUGAGCAUCUCCAUGACUGGAUCUGUGCUUCCACUGAAUCUUCCUCCCCAAAGUUUAUCCCCCUGAGAGAGAAACAAACAAGUUAAAGAGGCCUGAUAACUUCAUUUCAGCUUCUGUGUACUAUGUAAUAUCUAAUGAUCUGUUUAUCCAACACAGUGGCCAUGCCACUGUCCUUUCUGACCAGAAACACCCCUGGACUUCAGGAUCUUUGGAAGUAGUUGAAGAGAAGGAGAACACAUCACUGUCAGUAUUAUUUACCCCUGAGAUGUGAUGUUUAGCUCAGGAACCAUCCAAGAUACUUUACCUCUGCAGGACUCUGCAGGGAGUCCUUGAAAUUAAUAUCAGGGCACCUGGUGCCAGACCAGCAUGGAUUUCUCUUUUGAGGCAGCUGCAGGUCAACAACCCUUUGACAGCCUUUUAAAGGGGGUAAAAAGUAAAGCAGUAAGGAUUAGAGUGAAAGUAUCCUCUAAAUCCUUUUUGUGCUGUUUAACUAACAGAUUGUUCUUUGAUUGACAAAGAGCUGUGGGCCAGCACAAGCCACAUUAUGAAGUGUUUGAAGUUACCAUUUGAAGCAUCUCCAGACUUCAUGAUGUGCUUGCAGGCUUUGGUGUAAAAUCAGCAUGAUAAGAUGCACAUGGCAGAAAGGGAAUUCCGGGUUCAGGAAUGUUCAGAAAAAUAAAUCAACAAAAAGGUGCUGAAACACAUGGGGAAAAAAAGGGUCUUUUUGCCACCCAAAGCAGGAUUCACACAGUGACCUCACACACUCGAAUGUGUCCCCUGCACAGCUCCUUCACUGGGUGACCAAAGGCAGGUACACAAUCCCAGCAGGGUGUGUGGGACCCUCUGCCUCCAGUGAUUCAGCACCUGGAUGGACUCACUGGCUCAGCCCACGUGUGUCACUUGUUGAGCAGCUUUUUGCUUGCCCAGUGACUGUCUCCAUGUCUGUGCUGAUCCCUGCUGGAACAAGGGGCCUGAGAGGACAGCAGGAGAGAGCCUACAGAGACUUCCAGAUGCACAGAGCAUCAUGAUAUCUACCCUGAGAACACCUCUUUGAACCAUUUUGUUGCCAGGUUCUUCCUCUUCUGCAGUCCCUCACUUUUAGUGCUUCUUUCGUCAUGUUCAUCUUUUAUGGGUGUCUGUGCUCCAGGAUGUGACAGGAGGUUGCUGAGGGUUUGAAAAAACAUUUGGCAGGGCCCUGUGUCACUCAGCACUGGCCAUGAGGAAGAAUACCAGACAUUUGCUGCUGGGAGCAAGAGGAAAUCUGUUCAGCUGAGGCCUCUGAAGGCUCACCCGUCCGAACACUCGUCCAGCUUUGCUGCGGAUCAGUUCCAGACUGUCAGGAUUCUUCUUCUGAGGCAUCAGGCUGCUGCCAGAGCUGCAAGGAAGGUGUGUGGAGUGCAAUGGCGCUCAGAGUCACGGGUCAGAGCAACAGCAUGGCUGGGGAAGGACAAGGGAAAUAGAGCACAUGAAAUCAGAGAAUGGCUCUUUCCUUUCCAAUCUUUACUCUGUCAUGCCUGGAGCCUGGGAUCCCCUCUCGAACAAGAGGGUGGAAUGAGGCCAAGGCACUAAGGCCUUAGCUGAACAGGCAGCAGGACACAAGAUUCUCUGUGUUACCUCAUCAGCCAGGGUGUAACUGUGGCCAAAGGAUGGAGAGCAGGGAGUUGGUCACCACUGCCCAACCCCUGCUGGGUUCCCAGUUGGUCAGAGCCACACAGGAACAUGGGGAGGUCCUGUCCCAGUCUGCAGGUUUCCCUCUGGUUUGUCCCCACCCCCUCAGAGGGGGAUGCACUCCUGGGCUCCAGCAGAGCAGGGCCCCAAGGCUGGAGAAGGCUCCUCCAGCCAGGGCUGAAAGGUGCUGACCUGAGCAAGAACUGGCUCCAUCGGAUGGGCUGAGCUUUCUGCAGGUGGGUGUAGCCAGGCAGGAUGACAUCGAUUUCUCUGUGUGGCAGAGGAGAGAAGGAGGUGAGAGCAGCUGCCAGGGUGGAGGGCAGGGGCAGGGCUGUAACUCCCCCCUGCUGCUGCCCCACUGGUGUCAGUCAAAGACGAGCCUACAGGUCUCCUGGCCCAGCAAGGCCCUGGAUUUGGCAAAGGACUUACAUGGCAGCGCGUUCCACCAGGGUCUUAAUGAGCUGCAGGAGGUGUGUGGAGAUGAUGGAGAGGGAAUUCUUCAUGAACAGCUUCAAGUCAGUCACAACCUGUGUGAGAUUGGCCACAGUCAGACAAACAGAAUGUGACACGUGGUGACUGCCCACUUUUACUGCAAAGUAAACCCCUCCUUGUCUUGAGUGAUGGGACAGUGCAUCUUCUUCUCAUCAUUUGGUCAUAUUUAUGUGGUGAUAUCACUAUUUCUUGCUCUCCAGGAAGAGUUCCAAAGGCUGUGCUGAUUUGAAGUCUCCUGAAAUGAGGAUUGGGCGGGGAGGGAAUACCAAAGGAGAAAAAAAUGAUUCUGUACAUACCUGAUCAUUCCUGCUUCUUCCAGUGUGCAACUUUCCAGCUACAUCUCCAAUCAGCUCCUGAGGACAAGAGGAGGAUUUCUAUCAGUAUCUCUGUAUUUUAAGCAAGAGGCUCCAUGAGCAGAUCUUCUCCCUGCCUGUGAGUAGCCAUGGGAUGUGUUCUGGGGAAGGGCAGGUUUGAGUCCUGUGUUUGUACAGUGACACUUCCAUGGAAGGGGGCUUGGAGACACUGGCCUGUGCACUUGGGGUCCAGAGGAGUUUCACAGAGGGACAGAGGCACAUGCCCUUAACAUCAGGCAGAUCCAGCUACAGAGGAACAGGAACAAGAGGACAGAAAACCCAAACCUUUAGCCUGCGUUCGUUGGCAGUGUGGAUAUCCUCAUCAGUUUGGAUCACACCAAAGACUCCUUUGGACCAUUCCUCAGAGAUCUACAAACACCAGCAGAAACACCAGUCAGCUACAACAGUUACCCUGCUGUGUGGAGGGCUGUAAGGGUUCCCAGAAAAUUCCUGCCAUCCCCAUGAAAAUUUAACCCCAAAGAGUUAAGUCUCAUGUGAGCUCUGGUAUUCAGGUCAAGCCUGGCUGCUUGCUGUAUCCUGAUAUCCUGUACUGCUGGGAUUCAUCCCUCUACCCAUGGCAAUCCUGCAGUGUUAUGGCUGUAGGAUUUAAGCAUUGCAAGGAGGAAGUGAGCCAAAACAUCACUGAUUGCUUUAGCAUUGUCCACAAAGGUUUUCCUAUAAAACAUUGUACAGCCUCGCCGUUGUCCGUGGUGGGUGAGGAACAACAAUGGAUAUUUUAAAAAAAGCGCUUUGCUGCGACUCCUCUUCCCCCCUACACAUGCUAUGCAUUGCCUCCUACCAGAGGGCAGCCAGGCUCAAAAGGAUCCCAUGUGCCAACAGGAAAAGAAUGUUCUUACUUCAUACUGAAAUGAUUCCUAGUGAAUGUUCAGUCUGAAGAGGAUGGGACACGAGCACAUUUAAGGACGCUCUUUAGAAGAGCAGCUCAGAUGCUCUCAGGUAAGGAGCCAUUCAUUCCAGCACACAUCACAGUUUGUGAAGGAAAGACAUACCUUUUCCAGGCCACUCAGGAUCUUCUCCAGCUCAGUUUUAGACAGGAUUCCAGCCUUCUCCAAGGCUUUAGCAUAAGCCAUGCUCCCCUGAAUAUCAACUUCAGACAGUCUCUGAUCAACAGUAAUGGAAGCGCUGAGCAUCUCCAUGAUUGGAUCUGUGCUUCCAACAAACCUUCCUGCCAUCAUUUUAUCCCCCUGCAAGUAAUGAAGUUGAAGUUGAGAGGCAUGUUCAAAAGACUUAUGGAUAUAUCUGCUAAAAAUCAGUCAGUGUCUAUUCCACUCCUUAUCAAACUAAAACUGAGGACAAUCUCAGGAAUGGAAUUUUUUCAGUCUAUACCAUUGACCAGAAACCCCCUGGACUUUAAUGCCUUUGGCAAGCAGCUGUAGAGGUGGAGAACAUGUCGCUGUCACCAGAAUUUAGCCCUUGAGGUUACAGGUCUGGCUCGGGAAUCCUCCAAGACAUUUUACACCUUCAGGACUCUGCAGGGAGUAUGUCCUGUCUGUGAAAAUAAGUAUCAGGCAAUGGGAUGCAAGACCAGCGUGGGACUCUCUUUUAAGGCAGCUGCUGAUCACUGACCCUUUGAGAGUCUCCUGACAGGGAAAAAAAGUCAGGGAGAUACACUGAAAGGUGGUAUCUACUACUAUUUGAAAUACUAAAAAAAAUCCCACUCUUUUAGGGAGACUGUAAGAAAACAUUGAGCUGACAAAGAGCUGUGGGCCAGCACAAGCCACAUCCUGUCAAACACUCCUGUAACUAUCAAGUGUGUGAAGUUACCGUUUGAAGCAUCUCCAGAGUCCACGACGUUCUUGCAAGUUUUGGCACAAAAUUGAGAUAAAACUGGCAAAGGUGCAGAUUGCAGAAAGAGAGAUCUGGGUGCCGUUCAGUGUUACAAAUGUUAGCGCAAAGUGAAAAAAGGAAGAGAAAAAAGCCCAAAGUACCCCCGGAAGGGCUCGGAAGAUGCGCGGCGCCGGGCGGGCGGCCGAGCUACCAUGGACAGCGGGCGGCGGGACCGGGCAGGGGACCGGAGCAGCCCUUUCCCCAAAUUACCAGGGAAGAGCAGGAGGGAGCCUGCGGAGCCAGGGUGCAGGCUCGGGGUGCUGGAGCUCUGGGUGUGGAGCAGAAUCAUUAAGGUUGUGAAAGGUCUCCAAGAUCACCGAGUCGAACCGUUAACCUAAUACUGCCGGGUUCACCACUAACCCAUGUCCCUGAGGAUCACAACUACACGUUUUUUGACCCCUCCCAGGGAUGCUGAUUCCACCACACCCCCGGGGAGCCUUUUCCAAACGAAAUAGGGAAAGACUCGAAGCUCACGAACGCCAGAGCACCCGGAGACCUCCCCGCCGGGAAAGCAAAGGUCCCCCUCACCUCGGCUGCCAUUUCGGACGACGUUUUGCUCGUUUGUGCGGCGAUCCUGGCAACUGGUGCAACCUGCGGGACAGCGCGGGUGAUGCUCAGCCCUGCCCCGGGCCGAGCCCCGCCGCGGUCCCGCUGCCCUCCCGGCCCCUCCGGGCCCCGCUCACCUGCUCGUCCCGCAGCCCCGGCCACUCGCUCGCUGCUCCCCGGCCCCGCCGCCCCGCUUUUACACGCCUCGGUGCGGGGCAGGCGGCUCGUCCCGCCCCGCCGGGGCGGGGUGUCCCCGGGGCCGGCCCCGCUCCGGUCCCCCCCGCAGCCCCCUGCUCCCUUCACACCCCUCCGCUGCCUCCGGCCCCGGCUCGCCCAGCGCGUGGUCGAGGAGAGAAGUUUCUUUUGGGGAGAGGUUUGCUGCGGGGAGGAGGGUUGAGAGGGAUGCUCCCGUGUUGCUUCUUAGGGAAGUUCCCGACGGUGCUCCCGCACUGCCUGAGGGUCUCGUGUGUGGACAGGGCAGCUCCUUCCCUGGGAAUAUCCUUGUACUGAAGGAGCCACAUCGCUCGGUGUUACACUCCUUAACGAGCAGUCUUUGAUAUGAAUGUAAUUGAUAAAGUGCUCUGUCCCCGUUGCCACCCCGGCCAACACACCGGAAUAAAACAGAUGGGAGCCGGUUCCCCUUUCCCAUUUCUGCGUGGAUGAGACUUUUCUCCCCACUCGUAGGGACGCUGCAGCCCCAGCUUUGGGGCUUCCCUGCUGCCACCAGUUCCAUGGGGUCACUUGUCAAGAGGCUCCUGUGAGCUGUGGCUGUGGGGUGCGAGGUUGUGCUUUUGGUAAUAGCCCGUGUCUUAAACUCAUGACACUCUAAACAUCGUGGAAGUAAACAACUGAUUGAAAAUACAAGAGAGCUUUGGGAGCAGCAAAGCUUCAGCUCAGCACCACUUUCUCAUUAACUCCUCAGACAGAGAAUUUUCUGCAGCCACUUCCCAGAAAGCUGAAUAUUUGCUGCUAUGUCUUACUGAGUGAGCCUCUGCAGUGUAAUAUUUUCCCAUCUGCAUUGUCCAAACCCUUCACAGCGCUCAGGAAACAUGUCCCAGCUUUCUCAUCCACAUUUUGUUGGGUUAUUUUUUUUCCCCUGUAACUGAUCCUCUUUCUCUUUUUACUGUUCUCAUCAGUUCUACAACAUUAUCUCCUUUCCCUUUUUCUUCUAGGACACUCACACCAGGAAGCAGUGCUUGAUCCUUUUGCAGUCAUGUUCUUUCCUGCUGUGAAAUCCCUCAUUUUUACUGCUUUCUUGUCUUCUUCACCCUUUAGAAACGUCCUUUCCUUACUCUGGGCUUUGACAGGAGAUUGCUGAUGUGUUGGGGAACAAGUAAUCAGUGAGUUUAUAACCAGAGUGAAUCUAUGUCAGUAAGAUCUUAUUAAUCUGUGUCUGAUAUUACAUGUGGCAGGGACAUGUGCUUCCACAUGGGAUCUGUCAGCAGUGUCCCUGUGUGUUUAGCAAACUUCACAGGGAUUAGUUGGCUUGUAGUACGCUGCUCAACUCUUGUCCCAGUUCGUAUCUAGGAAAUUAUUAAUUCUCUUUCCUAUUUUUAGAUUAAAUAGACAAUAACUAUCUUUUCUGUAUAAUAGUGUAGAAUAUAGACUAAUAUUUUUAUAAUAAAAAUGGAAGUGAAACUGUAAAUACAAAAAUGAACAUUGAAGAAAUAUGAUUUCUUACAGAUGCUGGA